rnacentral:rRNA from 1 species
CCUACGGGAGGCAGCAGUGAGGAAUAUUGGUCAAUGGGCUUACGCCUGAACCAGCCAAGUCGCGUGAGGGAAGACUGCCCUAUGGGUUGUAAACCUCUUUUGUCAGGGAGUAAUUUGCGCUACGUGUAGCGUUAUCUAUAGUACUUGAAGAAAAAGCAUCGGCUAACUCCGUGCCAGCACCCGCGGUAAUACGGAGGAUGCGAGCGUUAUCCGGAUUUAUUGGGUUUAAAGGGUGCGUAGGCGGAAUGCCAAGUCAGCGGUAAAAUCUGGGGGCUCAACCUCGCUCCGCCGUUGAUACUGGCGUUCUUGAGUGGGCGGGAGGUAUGCGGAAUGCGUGGUGUAGCGGUGAAAUGCAUAGAUAUCACGAAGAACUCCGAUUGCGAAGGCAGCAUACCGGCGCCCAACUGACGCUGAAGCACGAAAGCGUGGGUAUCGAACAGGAUUAGAUACCCGGGUAGUC